CAUGUAAUUCAGCUAGUUAGGAAUAAAAUAGAAGAAUAAAGAGUAAACUAGAUAGAAGAAUACAAACAGGAGAAUAUAGUUCACAGUUCAUCUUUUUCCAGAGG